ensembl:lncRNA
GCCCGAUAACACUGUCACUAAAAGUCGAAAAUGUCCCGCUGGGGGAGAAGCUGAUCUCCUGUGCGGAGGGUACGAGAUGGCGUCGCUUCAGGAGUUCUCCGCACGGGAAAAUAUCCUCUUGCCUUUUUCCAAGUGGUGCACAGCGCGUGGACGGGAACCUCUGGGUGUGUAUCGUAGCGUCGCUCUAUGAUCACACAAGGAGCCCUGUGGAACUGUACCUCCUCGCUCCCUCACAGCGAGAUGGUGCUGGGUUUGAUCCCACCAGCCUGUUGGGAGAUACACUAUACGAAUGUGCAUAUACAAUAAGCUCUGCACGCCAGAUACUCCACUUUGAACACGUGUGGAUUAACGCUCUUCUGUUUUCACUGCUCGGACAGUGUUUGCACAUCAAAUGUUUUAUGAAAAGUGCAUGUGUGCUGUGGAAUAUAAGAACAUAUCAAUAGUGUAGAAGCAGUGUAGAAACCUAUGCCCCCCGUCCUCCUCC